rnacentral:rRNA from 1 species
AGCGAACGCUGGCGGCAGGCCUAACACAUGCAAGUCGAACGCAUCGCAAGAUGAGUGGCAGACGGGUGAGUAACGCGUGGGAACAUACCCGUUUCUACGGAAUAGCUCUGGGAAACUGGAAUUAAUACCGCAUACGCCCUACGGGGGAAAGAUUUACCGGGGAAGGACUGGCCCGCGUUGGAUUAGCUAGUUGGUGGGGUAAAGGCCUACCAAGGCGACGAUCCAUAGCUGGUCUGAGAGGAUGAUCAGCCACAUUGGGACUGAGACACGGCCCAAACUCCUACGGGAGGCAGCAGUGGGGAAUAUUGGACAAUGGGCGCAAGCCUGAUCCAGCCAUGCCGCGUGAGUGAUGAAGGCCUUAGGGUUGUAAAGCUCUUUCACCGAUGAAGAUAAUGACGGUAGUCGGAGAAGAAGCCCCGGCUAACUUCGUGCCAGCCGCCGCUGUAAGAC